AUUCUAUUUUUUUAGUUGGAUCCUGUAUGAAUUAUAAUAGACACCUGACAGGAUACUCCUUUUCUAAUUGCAUCAGGUGAGUCCCUACGGUUUGCUUUAGUCCGUACGCUGUCUGUGUCCGUCCUUUAUUUUACGGUUUUGCUAAUUAACAGUCGAGUGAUUUACAAUUGGGUUUCAUUCAAAUUUCUGGCCGCUUGGUCUUGUGCCAAGAUCCGCGCUGGGUGCUGGCUUUUUUGGACUUUUUUUUUCUGUCUCUGUUACCGGGUGCGCUUUCGUUUCCCAGCCAGCCCGUUACCGCCUAUCCCUUUUGUUCUCUGUCUUUUUUUUGUCCUUUCUCAUUUCUUGGCGAGAGUUAAAGCUGAGAGAGGGAGGCGAUUCUUGGCGAUUUCCUCGUCGUCCAUGACUGUGAAUUAACAAUGAUGGAGAAGAAGGAUUGUUUGCAUUAGAUAGAUGAUGAACUGCUUUUUUCACACUAUGGAUAGGGCAGUGUCUAUGUUGGUUCAGUGUGUAGUCAUCUGUAUGAUAGGAAGUGUCAAGUGUGUAUGUUGGUUCAGCUGUUUUUUUCUUUUCGAAAAGGAGGAUUGCCCCCGGCCUCUGCAUCGCAAUGUUGGUUCAGUUGUGUCUCUAUAAUCUGUAGAAGACACUAGGUACUAUACUUGCAAGGUUUUAUUACUGUAAUUUCAAGGUUUUUCACCUGCUUGUCAUGAAUGCAAAUGGGUUCAGUCCAA